rnacentral:rRNA from 1 species
AGUGAACGCUGGCGGUAGGCCUAACACAUGCAAGUCGAACGGCAGCACAGUAAGAGCUUGCUCUUACGGGUGGCGAGUGGCGGACGGGUGAGGAAUACAUCGGAAUCUACUUUUUCGUGGGGGAUAACGUAGGGAAACUUACGCUAAUACCGCAUACGACCUACGGGUGAAGGCUGGGGAUCUUCGGACCUUGCGCGAUUGAAUGAGCCGAUGUCGGAUUAGCUAGUUGGCGGGGUAAAGGCCCACCAAGGCGACGAUCCGUAGCUGGUCUGAGAGGAUGAUCAGCCACACUGGAACUGAGACACGGUCCAGACUCCUACGGGAGGCAGCAGUGGGGAAUAUUGGACAAUGGGCGCAAGCCUGAUCCAGCCAUACCGCGUGGGUGAAGAAGGCCUUCGGGUUGUAAAGCCCUUUUGUUGGGAAAGAAAAGCAGCAGGUUAAUACCCCGCUGUUCUGACGGUACCCAAAGAAUAAGCACCGGCUAACUUCGCG